rnacentral:rRNA from 1 species
CCUACGGGAGGCAGCAGUGGGGGAUAUUGCACAAUGGGGGGAACCCUGAUGCAGCGACGCCGCGUGGGUGAAGAAGCGCCUCGGCGCGUAAAGCCCUGUCAGCAGGGAAGAAAAUGACGGUACCUGAAGAAGAAGCCCCGGCUAACUACGUGCCAGCAGCCGCGGUAAUACGUAGGGGGCAAGCGUUAUCCGGAUUUCCUGGGUGUAAGGGGGGCGCAGACGGCGUUGCAAGCUAGGAGUGAAAGCCCGGGGCCCAACCCCGGGACUGCUCUUGGAACUGCGUGGCUGGAGUGCAGGAGGGGCAGGCGGAAUUCCUGGUGUAGCGGGGAAAUGCGUAGAUAUCAGGAGGAACACCGGUGGCGAAGGCGGCCUGCUGGACUGCAACUGACGUUGAGGCCCGAAAGCGUGGGGAGCAAACAGGAUUAGAUACCCUUGUAGUC